rnacentral:rRNA from 1 species
CCUACGGGAGGCAGCAGUGGGGAAUAUUGCGCAAUGGGCGAAAGCCUGACGCAGCAACGCCGCGUGCGGGAUGAAGGCCUUCGGGUUGUAAACCGCUUUCAGCAGGGAAGAAGCGAAAGUGACGGUACCUGCAGAAGAAGCACCGGCUAACUACGUGCCAGCAGCCGCGGUAAUACGUAGGGUGCAAGCGUUGUCCGGAUUUAUUGGGCGUAAAGAGCUCGUAGGCGGUUAGUCACGUCGGAUGUGAAAACCCGGAGCUUAACUCCGGGCCUGCAUUCGAUACGGGCUGACUCGAGUGUUGUAGGGGAGACUGGAACUCCUGGUGUAGCGGUGAAAUGCGCAGAUAUCAGGAAGAACACCGGUGGCGAAGGCGGGUCUCUGGGCAACUACUGACGCUGAGGAGCGAAAGCGUGGGGAGCAAACAGGAUUAGAUACCCUGGUAGUCCACGCCGUAAACGGUGGGCGCUAGGUGUGGGGAACAUUCCACGUUCUCCGUGCCGCAGCUAACGCAUUAAGCGCCCCGCCUGGGGAGUACGGCCGCAAGGCUAAAACUCAAAGGAAUUGACGG